AUGUUGUCCCUUCCUCUUCCUCCCCAUGCCGAACUCCCGACCACCUCCGCCUGCCUCCUCCGCCCGCGCGGCCGUCUCCUGCUCGGGUCCAGGUCCAGCAGAGCCGCCACGAAGAAUCUCUCGGUUGCCUCCCCGGAUGCUUCGAGCCUGCGCCUCGCCUCCGUGGCCGUGCCCUCCCCGCGCGCCUCUGUCCGACGCCCAGACGGCGGUGGCCUCCUCGUCCUCUCCGUCGAUGCUUCCGCGGUUGCAAUAUCUGCCAGCUUCAUAUUCUUUUCGGCGGUUCCCUCCAUGUUGGAUUGCAAGAGGGCAGCAGAGUCUCUUGAAAAGUCAUUUGAUCUCACAAGGGAGAAGCUUCCUGAAACUAUGGCUUCAGUGAGACAAGUUGGAAAGGAGAUCGGUGAUUUGAGUGUUGAUCUCAGCGACCUAAGUCAAGAAUUGAAUAAGGUUGUCAGGAGUUCAUUUAGCAUUGUUCAUAUAGCUGACGCUCAACUUCGCCAGCUGGCAACCUCUGCCCAACAAGGAACCGCUCAGCUGGUGGCUAAUCGGAAGAAAGCGGUAGGGGAGCCACUGGUGGCUACUACCGUUAGAGAAGUCCGUGAGUUGAUUGCGGACAUCCGCUCAGGAUUUGGAACAGCCUUCAGCAUCGCAAGCCUUUUCAUGUGGGCAUCAAAGUUUUGGUCCAGACGUCCUAAGAACAAUUCGUAG
rnacentral:rRNA from 1 species